GCAGUGGUGGCUGUUCUGUGGUAGGAUUCUUGCCUUCCAUGCAGGAGACCCAAGUUUGAUUCCUGGCCAAUGCA
rnacentral:tRNA from 1 species